rnacentral:rRNA from 1 species
GACGAACGCUGGCGGCGUGCUUAACACAUGCAAGUCGAACGGUGAAGCGCCUUCCUUUUUGGUGGGUGUGGAUGAGUGGCGAACGGGUGAGUAACACGUGAGUAACCUGCCCCCUUCUUCUGGAUAACCGCAUGAAAGUGUGGCUAAUACGGGAUAUUCUGGGUCUGUCGCAUGAUGGGUCUGGGAAAGAUAUUGUUUCGGUGGGGGAUGGGCUCGCGGCCUAUCAGCUUGUUGGUGGGGUGAUGGCCUACCAAGGCGGUGACGGGUAGCCGGCCUGAGAGGGUGGACGGUCACACUGGGACUGAGACACGGCCCAGACUCCUACGGGAGGCAGCAGUGGGGAAUAUGGCACAAUGGGCGAAAGCCUGAUGCAGCGACGCCGCGUGAGGGAUGGAGGCCUUCGGGUUGUGAACCUCUUUCGCCAGUGAAGCAGGCCUGCCUCGUUUGUGGGUGGGUUGACGGUAGCUGGAUAAGAAGCGCCGGCUAACUACGUG